rnacentral:rRNA from 1 species
AUUAAUUUGAGAGUUUGAUCCUGGCUCAGGACGAACGCUGGCGGCGUGCCUAAUACAUGCAAGUCGAACGUUUACAUUUGAGUGAGUGGCGAACUGGUGAGUAACACGUGGGAAACCUGCCCAGAAGCGGGGGAUAACACCUGGAAACAGAUGCUAAUACCGCAUAACAACUUGGACCGCAUGGUCCGAGCUUGAAAGAUGGCUUCGGCUAUCACUUUUGGAUGGUCCCGCGGCGUAUUAGCUAGAUGGUGGGGUAACGGCUCACCAUGGCAAUGAUACGUAGCCGACCUGAGAGGGUAAUCGGCCACAUUGGGACUGAGACACGGCCCAAACUCCUACGGGAGGCAGCAGUAGGGAAUCUUCCACAAUGGACGAAAGUCUGAUGGAGCAACGCCGCGUGAGUGAAGAAGGGUUUCGGCUCGUAAAACUCUGUUGUUAAAGAAGAACAUAUCUGAGAGUAACUGUUCAGGCCAGAAAGCCACGGCUAACUACGUGCCAGCAGCCGCGGUAAUACGUAGGUGGCNAGCGUUGUCCGGAUUUAUUGGGCGUAAAGCGAGCGCAGGCGGUUUUUUAAGUCUGAUGUGAAAGCCUUCGGCUCAACCGAAGAAGUGCAUCGGAAACUGGGAAACUUGAGUGCAGAAGAGGACAGUGGAACUCCAUGUGUAGCGGUGAAAUGCGUAGAUAUAUGGAAGAACACCAGUGGCGAAGGCGGCUGUCUGGUCUGUAACUGACGCUGAGGCUCGAAAGUAUGGGUAGCAAACAGGAUUAGAUACCCUGGUAGUCCAUACCGUAAACGAUGAAUGCUAAGUGUUGGAGGGUUUCCGCCCUUCAGUGCUGCAGCUAACGCAUUAAGCAUUCCGCCUGGGGAGUACGGCCGCAAGGAAUUGACGGGGGCCCGCACAAGCGGUGGAGCAUGUGGUUUAAUUCGAAGCUACGCGAAGAACCUUACCAGGUCUUGACAUACUAUGCAAAUCUAAGAGAUUAGACGUUCCCUUCGGGGACACGGAUACAGGUGGUGCAUGGUNGUCGUCAGCUCGUGUCGUGAGAUGUUGGGUUAAGUCCCGCAACGAGCGCAACCCUUAUUAUCAGUUGCCAGCAUUAAGUUGGGCACUCUGGUGAGACUGCCGGUGACAAACCGGAGGAAGGUGGGGAUGACGUCAAAUCAUCAUGCCCCUUAUGACCUGGGCUACACACGUGCUACAAUGGAUGGUACAACGAGUUGCGAACUCGCGAGAGUAAGCUAAUCUCUUAAAGCCAUUCUCAGUUCGGAUUGUAGGCUGCAACUCGCCUACAUGAAGUCGGAAUCGCUAGUAAUCGCGGAUCAGCAUGCCGCGGUGAAUACGUUCCCGGGCCUUGUACACACCGCCCGUCACACCAUGAGAGUUUGUAACACCCAAAGUCGGUGGGGUAACCUUUUAGGAACCAGCCGCCUAAGGUGG